rnacentral:rRNA from 1 species
CGAAUGGCUCAUUAUAUCAGUUAUAGUUUAUUUGAUGAAAUAUACUACUUGGAUAACCGUAGUAAUUCUAGAGCUAAUACAUGAUCGUCUCCUCGACUUUGAAGAGGUGUAUUUAUUAGAAUGAAAACCAAUAGACUUUGUCUGUUUGUGAGUAAUAAUAACUUGUCAUAUCGCAUGCUUUUGUAGCGAUGUGUCUUUUAAGUUUCUGCCCUAUCAGCUUUCGAUGGUAGUGUAUUGGACUUCCAUGGCAGUAACGGGUAACGAAGA